GAUAAAACUUAUAAAAUCCGAAAACUCAUUCAAUUAUGAGUUCAACCAUGCUAGCUUCUCUCAAAUCCGACUCCAGAUCGAUGUUCAAACCUUAAAAUUCAUAUUAUGACACUUUAGGCUAAAACCCCCAAUUUUCUCUUUAGAAUUUACAAUACAAUUACCAAAAACUAAGAUAUAUUCACAAAGUAUGACCAAAACCAAGUAGAGAAUACAUAACCCAAUUCAUAUUGUGAAAAUUGCUUCAAGAAUUGCCUUAAGCCAAGCUCCAUAGCUCCAAAAAUUUAAAAAUGGCCGAAACCUUCGAAAUAGAAAACUUUAUAAUCUGCCCAGGCAUUCCUCUAACGUGAACGCGGGAAAUCCAUCGCGUUCGCGAUGAACAAAAUCAUACUGCCAACAAAAUAUUAUGCAUUCGCAGUAACGCGAUGACCGCUGAUGCCAAAGGUUCGCGAACGCGACUCAUAUUUCGUGAUCGCACUGAAAAAUUCCCCAACACUCAGCUGCCAAACCUUAACACUACGCGAACGCAUGGCAAUGGACGCGGACGCGAAGACAAUAAUUUCAACCCAGUGCGAACACGACCUCAGAAGCACGAACACGCAGAAUAAAUAGCUCUACUAACCAAAACACCUUUCGCGAUCGCGACCACACGUUUGCGAUCGCAAAGAACGCCAGAAGCAAUAGGUAAUAGCAGAAAAACCAGCAAUGCAAAGCCAUUUGAAAUAAUUCGAACUAUAUCCGAAAUUGACCCAAGCCCCUCGGGAUCCCGUCCGAACAUACCAACAAGUCUCAUAAUCCACCACAGACCUACUUAAGACCUCAAGUCACACAUAACAAUAUUAACGAGUCAAAUCGCACCUCAAAUCGAAAUCUAUGGACUUUGAACUUUCAAUUUUCAGAACUUUCGCCUAAAUAUAACAAAUCAACCCGGAAUGAACCCAUGUUUUGCACACAAGUCCCAAAUGACAUAAUGAAGCUAUACCAAUUCCCGAAACCACAAUCCGAAUCCGAUAUCAAAAAGUCCACCCCCGGUCAAGCUUUCCAGAAUCCAACUUUGGCCAUUUCAAGCCAAAUUCAACUAUGGAUCUCCAAAUCACAAUCUGGACACGCUCUUAAGUCCAAAAUUGCCCAGUGGAGCUAACGGAACAAUCAAAACUCCAAUCCAAGAUUAAAUACCAAAAAGUCAAACUUGGUCAACUCUUCCAAUUUAAACCUUCCUAGCUGAGAAUCAUUCUUCCAAAUCAAUUCCAAAUAGCUUGAAAACCAAAACCGACGAUUCACAUAAAUCAUAAUAUAUCAUACAGAGCUACUUUUGCCCUCAAACCAACAGGCGGAGUGCAAAUACUUAGAACAACUAGUUGAGUCAUUAAAAUAUUUAAAUAUUAUAAUAUAUUUAAAUAUCAAAAUAAAUGACAUAUUAAUAAUUUUAAGGUUCUAUACAAUAUUUGAAUAAACCAGCCAAUACAAAGAAAUAAGUGGUUAUUGAAAAAACAAAUACACUUAAAAAUCGGAAAAAGUUAAAGACUCAAAAUAUUUGCAGUAUCAGAAGUGCGAUAGUAGUAGUACACUCUUUAAUAUUCUAAAAAGGAAAAUACAGAGCACCCGGUCAAACUAGUAGCAGCCUCUCCUAAUUAAACAAAAUAAAAAGUCAUAAAUUAUGAUACUCUCGUGCUCCCUCUCUGUAUAUAUCUUCAAAGUUGGAACUAUACGAAAAAUACUAGUAUAAGUUAUAUCUUUUCUCAUUCUAAUAUGAUUAAAAAAUAUAUUUUAAAAUAUUAAUAAAAUUCAUGUAGUUUAUCUUCCGAUAAAUGAAAUGUAUUUAUAAACUAAAACAAAAAUAAUACACAUGACUUCAUUCUUCCCUACCACCAUGUGACGAGACCGUAACUCAAACACGACGAUCUGUCCGGCCUAGCGAACUUUCAAUGCCAAA
rnacentral:lncRNA from 1 species